rnacentral:tRNA from 1 species
GCAAUGGAGGUUCAGCGGCAGAAUUCUCAUCCUUCAUGCAAGAGACCUGGGUUCAAUUCCUGGCCAAUGCA